rnacentral:lncRNA from 1 species
GCCAGAUGAGGCCCAAAGCAUCUCUGCUGUCAACUGACCUGCUUAUGUGAUACAAGAGAGCUUUUAAACGGGCUCAACUUUGAGCCCAAACAUAUGCAGCGUCAAAACAUGUACCUAAACUGCCUUAACAAAGCAGCAAAGAUCCGGAGAAAAAAUUGAUUUUUAUCUACCAACAUAUAUCUGAUUAUAAUACUAACCAUGAAAACUACAACUUAAAUUAUUUACGAACUAGUUUAUAAUCUUUAUAAAGUUCAGUCUACUUAUUACAAUAAAUCUGAAUACAAUAGCAAUUUUACAGCACUAAACAGACUUUUUGCAUUGUUAUUAAACCAAAAAUACAACUUCCUAAGAAAGAGAAAUGUUCUAAGUGACAGUCUAAUCUACUGUUGCUCUAUCCUCGAGCAAGCUAGGACUGCUCAUGGCUUAACCAACUGAGCCCCUUUCCUGUAAUAUACUGAUUGUUUCAGUGACCAAAAAAGAAACCUGUGCACAAUUAAGUAGUGAAUCUGACCAUUAAAUGGUCAGAUUUAUUUCCUUUGGUGUUGUUGUUAAGAGGUAAAUUUGGAACAACAGUUUUACAAGUAUAUGGACACUGAUUCAAUAAUCUAACAGUGACAAGUUGGGCACAUAUACAACACAAUAUUUCAAAUUUUUAUGAUCCAAUUUAGCAGCCACUUAAAGUAACAUUAACACAUGAUUUGUAGACAUUAACCAACCCUAGUUUCACAUACUCAUGAUUUUUAGAACUUCAGCCAAACAACAUAAAUUUUGAGCACACAUUUUGGAACUCAAAGUCAAUUCUAUUUUAGAAGGACAUUGUUACAUACCUUAGAGUUGAAAAAUACAGCAGAAAAUGACCAAAUAAAGGUCAUAAAACCAAGGGUGAUUCAGAGCUUAAAUCAACAGUAGUCAAACAACAGCUUCUCAGCAAUUUCAACUAGAAAUCAGCAAGAAAAACCCACAAUUUCAACCAGCAAAAUCCCAGCUAAAAAAUAGUAUUUUCAAACAAAACUCAUAACUUGAAACUAGAAAUCUUAGCCAAGACACCCAAGAAAGACCUAUUACUUCAAACCAUUAUUUCUAGCUUGUGAAAACCAAAAGUAAGAAGUUUUUGAAGUUUUCCUAAGAUUUCUGAAAUCUGGUUUUUUCAUAAAAGGAAGAGAGAAUUUUUUUGCAGUAAAAAUGAUGCUGAAUAUGUGUGUGUGUGAGUGAGGGAAUAUUUCCUUUUUAUAGAGUAUACCAAAAGAGCAUCAAAAAGGCAUAUUCUAACCUAAUAUUCUGAAUUUUUCAGGAUAGUACAACAUCUUUUGACAUCUGUAUGUCCUUUUUUCUUAUCCAAUAUUAGCAUUUUGCUAAGGAUAGGGACAGUUGUCCUAAAUACUAGAACCUUCUGAUUUUGGCCUAAGUGAAAGUCCAAUUUUACCCUUUAAGUUACUGCCUAUUUCAUCUUUAAUCUAAAUUCCUUUAGUUCAAUUAGGUCCCUAAGGUUUCUAUUGAUUUGCAGACUAAGGCAAACAAGAACAAAAACUUGACUUAAAAAGCAAGGUAGAUCAAAUGGACAAAUCCGAAUUCAAUUUAUAUUUCUAACUGGACCUAAAUUAUUUUAACACUUAACUGAAAACAAAAAUGGCAUAGAAUAGGGACAUUUUGCACCUAUCGUGAAUGCAGAAUCAAUCAAUGAGCCAUUUUGUAAGAAUCUAACCUGUUGAUCCAAACUAAUAUCAUCAUAGCAUGGAAUCAAACAACAAGAAAUUAACAGGCUAACAAACAUUAAUGAACCCCAAAUGACAAAUUGAUCAAUCGAUGGCUAUGACAAAAUGCUUAACUAAUGAACCCUAAACUACUGAUUAGUUCUUAAUGACUAAAUGCAGAAGGAAACAACAAUUCUGAAAUAAAAAAAACAAGAACCUAAAACAUGCAAUUACAGACAGAACAACCAUAACGAAGAAUCAAUCAAACAAAAAGAAAAAGAGAUGGCCAAGAAAAGAGAAGAAAAGAAAAAGAUAGAAAGCAAUCCAAAAAUUACCUAUAUCGGAGCGGGAAAUAAAUUGGAAUCGAAGAUCAUAAAUUUCUCUUAUCGAAAGCAGUUGACUCAUGUAGGUUUGAGCCAUUAAAUCUUCUCGAAUCAACUUAGUAGAGUUUUUAGGUUUUCAGACUUUCGAUCUGAAAUUGCUCGAUUUUGAGGGGCUUUUUGGGCAAACUAGUAGUGUAUUAGGGGUGAGGGCAUAUCCUGGUGAAGUUUUGGGUUAAUUAGGAAAAGUUAGGGUUUUUGUCAUGAAUCUCGGAUUUGAAAUUCGAUAUUUUUGGUAGUGAUUUGAGAGAAACGGAUCAAAGAUGUGGAAAGAGGAGGUGACGGGGGUUCUGAGAUGUUAAUUUGGAGUAGAGUGGAGGUGGUCCGCCGCCGUGAGGCAAUUUCUGGCCGGCGGACCAUGGCGGAGACGGUGAGGAGUUGAUGGCGGCUAGGGUUUCAUAUGUUUGGAUGAAAGAGGUGAACUGAAAUGAGGGAUUGGAAUUGGG